AUUAAUGAGGGGAGGAAAAGAAACUAACAAGGAUUUUCUUAGUAGCGGCGAGCGAAAAGAAAUCAGUUCAGCACUAAGUCACUUUAUCUUUAUGGUAAAUGUGAGAUGCAGUGUAUGGAACGUCUAUAAUCUAGUAUGACAAAUUAACGAUUUAAGUCCCUCUCAAAAGAGGCCAUUUACCCAUAGAGGGUGCCAGGCCCGUAUAACGUUAAUGAUUAUUAGAAGAUGUUUCCAAAGAGUCGUGUUGCUUGAUAGUGCAGCACUAAGUGGGUGGUAAACUCCAUCUAAAACUAAAUAUAACCAUGAGACCGAUAGUAAACAAGUACCGUGAGGGAAAGUUGAAAAGAACUCUGAAUAGAGAGUUAAAUAGUACGUGAAACUGCUUAGAGGUUAAGCCCGAUGAACCUGAAUAUUCAUUAUGGAAAAUUCAACAUAUGCCUAUAGUAUAUAAAAAAAUACUAUAGUAAUAUUGUGCAUUUUUUCCAUAUAAGAACAUUGUAAUCUAUUAACAUUAUAUUAUAUAUUUAUCAUAAGAUCAUUGGCUUAAGUUUAUUCAAAUUGAGUUGCUUGCAAUUUAACAUUGAAUAAAAUGCUUAUGAUUUGAUAAAGUGUCGAUAGAUUAAUUAAAUUAGUGCUUAAAUUCAAUAGAAUUUUACAAUUGCAUAAAUUUCUUAUGAUUUUUGUGUAUAUUGUAUGCGCUUAAUUGAUUAACAAUGCGAUAGAUUCAGGAUACCUUCGGGACCCGUCUUGAAACACGGACCAAGGAGUCUAACAUAUGUGCAAGUCAUUGGGAUUAUAUAAUUAAACCCAAAGGCAUAAUUAACUUAACUUUUUUAUAUAAUGGGAUUAGUUUUUAGUCUAUUUUAUUAUAGUCUAUUAAUUCAAUCCCGGGGCGUUCUAUCGGUUAUGUAUAAUAAUAUUUAUAUUAUUUAUACCUCUAACUGGAGCGUACCUUGAGCAAAUAUGCUGUGACCCGAAAGAUGGUGAACUAUACUUGAUCAGGUUGAAGUCAGGGGAAACCCUGAUGGAAGACCGAAACAGUUCUCACGUCCAAAUCGAUUGUCAGAAUUGAGUAUAGGGGCGAAAGACCAACCGAACCAUCUAGUAGCUGUUCCCUC
rnacentral:rRNA from 1 species